AGGACUCCAGUUACCCGAGGAACAGAAGGUUCGCAACUCUCGGAGUACGUGAGAGAACGCAUCGGAAUCCAGUAUGGAUGCAGGUACUGUGCACUGGUGACGGGACAAUGGCGGACGGAGCUGGGUGUGCGGAACAAGUUUGGUAAACCGCCUUCUGGGCUUUAUUCUGCUUUUUAUUUCUCGAACUUUGUGUCCCGGAAUUCUUGGGUCAAACGCGGUUAAAUUCCUAGUCCUUAAAUCUUGUGCCUCCUGAGUGAGCAUUCAUUUCAAGUCUGGACGAACAAAAUGAUUUUUGGGCAACUCAAAGAUUUUCACCUCAAAAA